GUGAGUUGUGGCUGGUGGAGAAGGUGGUUCAUCAACUUCUUUUACCUCUUCAACUGUUGGGGGCAAUGGUUCAUCAGCUAUUGGCUUCUCUUCCUCGAUGCUUUUCUUUACCUCUUCAAUUAUAGUUGCUGGAGGUUCCUCAAUUGUUGGCUUCUCUUCUUCAUCAGCUUUCUUUAAUUCAACUAUUAUUGGAGCUGGUUCAUCAGCUUUAGGCUUCACUUCCUCAUCAGCUUUCUGUACUUCUUCCACUAUUGUUGGAGCUGGUUCAUCAGCUUCAGGCUUCUCUUCCUCAUCACUUUUGUUUACCUCUGCGAUUAUGGCUGGUGGUGGUUCCUCUAUCGUUGGCUGCUCAUCAACUAUCUUUACUUCUUCGG
rnacentral:lncRNA from 1 species